rnacentral:rRNA from 1 species
CCCUUAGAUGUCCUGGGCCGCACGCGCGCUACACUGAUGCAUUCAACGAGUUCUACCUUGGCCGAGAGGCCUGGGCAAUCUUUUGAACCUGCAUCGUGAUAGGGAUAGAUUAUUGCAAUUAUUAAUCUUGAACGAGGAAUUCCUAGUAAACGCAGAUCAUCAAUCUGCAUUGUUUACGUCCCUGCCCUUUGUACACACCGCCCGUCGCACCUACCGAUUGAAUGGUCCGGUGAAGCCUCGGGAUUGUGGCGAGUUCCCUUUAUUGGGAGUUUGUCGCGAGAACUUGUCUAAACCUUAUCAUUUAGAGGAAGGUGAAGUCGUAACA